rnacentral:tRNA from 1 species
GGUGGGUUGGCUCAGUGGUUAGAGCGUGUCUCUUAAACGAAAGUUGCGGGAUCGAAUCCCGCUAGAGGCUG